CAUCAAGUCGAGCGCCCCGCAAGGGGAGCGGCACACGGGUGAUUAACGCGUGGGAAUCUACCCUUUUCUACGGAAUAACGCAGGGAAACUUGUGCUAAUACCGUAUGAGCCCUUCGGGGGAAAAAUUUAUCGGGAAAGGAUGAGCCCGCGUUGGAUUAGCUAGUUGGUGGGGUAAAGGCCUACCAAGGCGACGAUCCAUAGCUGGUCUGAGAGGAUGAUCAGCCACAUUGGGACUGAGACACGGCCCAAACUCCUACGG
rnacentral:rRNA from 1 species